UACAGAGGUCUCAAGCGUUGUUCGGAUUCAUUGGGCGUAAAGGGCGCGUAGGCGGCGGGGUAAGUCGGGUGUGAAAUCUCAGAGCUCAACUCUGAAAUGGCACUUGAUACUGCUCUGCUAGAGGACUGGAGAGGAGAUUGGAAUUCACGGUGUAGCGGUGAAAUGUGUAGAGAUCGGGAGGAACACCGGUGGCGAAGGCGGGUCUCUGGGCAUUUCCUGACGCUGAGGCGCGAAAGCGUGGGGAGCAAACGGG
rnacentral:rRNA from 1 species